UAUUUAGGGGACUCCAGGGACAUCAAGCAACAUGUGUCUGUGAAAUUAAGAAUUAGUAGUAAUAUCAACACAACUGUCUGUACCUUGACUGUUGAAUUCAGUUUAUUGAAAGUUUACAUGAAAAGAGAAUUUGUUAAAAGUUUCCCCAAGGACCCUUUUCUUACAGAAAUGCCUCCUACAGCAUUCUCUUUGUCAAAAUAGUCAGAAAUGUUGAUAUUCAUUUUUUUAAUAUGUAAAUAGUAUAAGUCUUUUAGACUCAGAAAGGACUAAUCAACUCUGGGGGCCAUGUAUUGAACAUCCAAGGAGUGGCAUGCAAGUCAUACUAUAGGC
rnacentral:lncRNA from 1 species